AGCGGGAUAACCCGGAGGUGGUUCCGGUGCAGGCUCAUAACCUGACGACGCGAGUUCGACUCUCGCUCCCGCAAC
rnacentral:tRNA from 1 species